UGCCAGCAGCCGCGGUAAUCCUAAUGUUGCUAUCGUUGUUCGGAAUUACUGGGCGUAAAGAGCAUGUAGGCGGAUGAAUUAGUCAGAGGUGAAAGCCCCGAGCUCAACUUGGGAACUGCCUUUGAUACUGUUUAUCUAGAGUCCGAGAGAGGUUAGUGGAAUUCCCAGUGUAGAGGUGAAAUUCGUAGAUAUUGGGAAGAACACCAGUGGCGAAGGCGGCUCACUGGCUCGAUACUGACGCUGAGGUGCGAAAGCGUGGGGAGCAAACAGGAUUAGAUA
rnacentral:rRNA from 1 species